AGGGCACCACCAGGAGUGGAGCCUGCGGCUUAAUUUGACUCAACACGGGAAAACUCACCCGGCCCGGACACUGGAAGGAUUGACAGAUUGAGAGCUCUUUCUUGAUUCAGUGGGUAGUGGUGCAUGGCCGUUCUUAGUUGGUGGAGUGAUUUGUCUGGUUAGUUCCGAUAACGAACGAGACUCUAGCCUAUUAAAUAGAUCGUUGGCUUACAAACGCCGGCGAGACUUCUUAGAGGGACAGGCGGCGAUUCAGCCGCACGAAACAGAGCAAUAACAGGUCUGUGAUGCCCUUAGAUGUCCGGGGCCGCACGCGCGCUACACUGAAGUGAUCAGCGUGCAUUUUGAAACCUACUCUGUCAAGAGUGGGGAACCCAAUGAACCUUCUUCGUGAUUGGGAUAGGGGAUUGUAAUUAUUCCCCUUGAACGAGGAAUUCCCAGUAAGCGCGAAUCAUAAGUUUGCGCUGAUUACGUCCCUGCCCUUUGUACACACCGCCCGUCGCUACUACCGAUUGAAUGUUU
rnacentral:rRNA from 1 species